UACGUAGGGGGCAAGCGUUGUCCGGAUUCAUUGGGCGUAAAGAGCGUGUAGGCGGCCAGGUAGGUCGGUUGUGAAAACUGGAGGCUCAACCUUCAGAGGUCGACCGAAACCAUCUGGCUAGAGUCCGGGAGAGGAGAGUGGAAUUCCUGGUGUAGCGGUGAAAUGCGCAGAUAUCAGGAAGAACACCCGUGGCGAAAGCGGCUCUCUGGAACGGUACUGACGCUGAUGUGCGAAAGCGUGGGGAGCAAACAGG
rnacentral:rRNA from 1 species